rnacentral:rRNA from 1 species
GAUGAACGCUGACAGAAUGCUUAACACAUGCAAGUCUACUUGAAUUUGGGUUUUUUAACUUCGAUUUGGGUGGCGGACGGGUGAGUAACGCGUAAAGAACUUGCCUCACAGCUAGGGACAACAUUUGGAAACGAAUGCUAAUACCUGAUAUGAUGAUUAUAGGGCAUCCUAGAAUUAUGAAGGCUAUAUGCGCUGUGAGAGAGCUUUGCGUCCCAUUAGCUAGUUGGAGAGGUAACGGCUCACCAAGGCGAUGAUGGGUAGCCGGCCUGAGAGGGUGAACGGCCACAAGGGGACUGAGACACGGCCCUUACUCCUACGGGAGGCAGCAGUGGGGAAUAUUGGACAAUGGACCGAGAGUCUGAUCCAGCAAUUCUGUGUGCACGAUGACGUUUUUCGGAAUGUAAAGUGCUUUCAGUUGGGAAGAAAAAAAUGACGGUACCAACAGAAGAAGUGACGGCUAAAUACGUGCCAGCAGCCGCGGUAAUACGUAUGUCACGAGCGUUAUCCGGAUUUAUUGGGCGUAAAGCGCGUCUAGGUGGUUAUGUAAGUCUGAUGUGAAAAUGCAGGGCUCAACUCUGUAUUGCGUUGGAAACUGUGUAACUAGAGUACUGGAGAGGUAAGCGGAACUACAAGUGUAGAGGUGAAAUUCGUAGAUAUUUGUAGGAAUGCCGAUGGGGAAGCCAGCUUACUGGACAGAUACUGACGCUGAAGCGCGAAAGCGUGGGUAGCAAACAGG